GGCGUUAUAGCUCAGUCGUAGAGCAGGGGAUUGCAGAUCCCAAGGUCGCGUGUUCAAUCCACGCUAGCGCCU